UCGAUUUGAGAAAACAAAAAGCGAAAUAAUCUCUUCUUCUGCUUCUGCGAAGACGACGAUGAUCCAUCCAUGUCGAGACGAUGAUAAGCCACUCUCUCUCUCUCUCAGUCCUCCAUCAUCACUCGAUAGAAACCCUAAUCCGCGAGACCCUAAGAUCUAAAAUCUAAAAACCCUAAAAUCUCUCUACGGAUCGGAGCGAAGCAUCUCAGGGUUUCAGCCACCGCCUACUCCGCCCUUCUUCUCUGGUUCGUCCCCCUUCUUCUCCUUCGGUUUCCCCUCUCUCUCUCUCUCGUAGACUCGUAGUCUUCUAGGGUUCCGAGCCAAGGAGAUGGCCUUGUUUUUCAAUCGGGCUCUUAAUUAAGCUCUUAACAGAGGAUCUCUCCGGUGUUCUUUGCUGUGGGAUCUUCUCUCUUCCAAAGCGUGGGUGCGGAUCACACACAGCAGGAGAUGGUUUUUAAGAAUGGACAAGUCUCAUAACCAAAAUUUGUCAUCUUAAUCUGAUUUACGAGUAUCAUCAAGUCAACCUACAGGAGAAGGUGGUCUUAUUUGCGCUUUGCCCAAACAGACAAUAUGAUUGACACGGCAGGAUAAAGAGCCGUUUAGAAUCAGCUGUAGCUACAACACAGAGUCGUCUGAGUGAACUUGGAGCAUCGUCUCCUUCCCCUUUUCUGAAAUCAAACCAGAACAGAUGUUUCCGCACUUUCUGAGGAGUGAGGACUGAUCUGAGCUUUGGUCUUAAUAUGAGGUGGUGGGCGUUGAUUGAUUUAUUUGACUCUCUCUCGGUGAUUCAGAACACAAACGUCGCCAGCGAGCUUAAGGUAAAGGAGGUCACCAUUCAAGGUAGAGACCAUCUGCAAUUAAUUCCAUGAAUGACACCAUGAGCCGAUGUCUAAGAAGAAGAAGAAGAAGAAGAAAAAAAGAACACCUCCAGGAUAAAGAGCCGUUAGAACCAGUAGCUACAAUACAUAGUAAGCCUCAGGGAAAAACCAGUAACCAACCAGUAGCUAAGAUUCUUUAUCGCGUCUUUUAGUUCAACUCUUGACUGUUUAUUUCUUCUUUGAUACCGUUGAUGGUUUUGGUUGCAGGUCGUCUGAGUGAACUUGGAGCAUCGUCUCCUUCCCCUUUUCUGAAAUCAAACCAGAACAGAUGUUUCCGCACUUUCUGAGGAGUGAGGACUGAUCUGAGCUUUGGUCUUAAUAUGAGGUGGUGGGCGUUGAUUGAUUUAUUUGACUCUCUCUCGGUGAUUCAGAACACAAACGUCGCCAGCGAGCUUAAGGUAAAGGAGGUCACCAUUCAAGGUAGAGACCAUCUGCAAUUAAUUCCAUGAAUGACACCAUGAGCCGAUGUCUAAGAAGAAGAAGAAGAAGAAGAAAAAAAGAACACCUCCAGGAUAAAGAGCCGUUAGAACCAGUAGCUACAAUACAUAGUAAGCCUCAGGGAAAAACCAGUAACCAACCAGUAGCUAAGAUUCUUUAUCGCGUCUUUUAGUUCAACUCUUGACUGUUUAUUUCUUCUUUGAUACCGUUGAUGGUUUUGGUUGCAGGUCGUCUGAGUGAACUUGGAGCAUCGUCUCCUUCCCCUUUUCUGAAAUCAAACCAGAACAGAUGUUUCCGCACUUUCUGAGGAGUGAGGACUGAUCUGAGCUUUGGUCUUAAUAUGAGGUGGUGGGCGUUGAUUGAUUUAUUUGACUCUCUCUCGGUGAUUCAGAACACAAACGUCGCCAGCGAGCUUAAGGUAAAGGAGGUCACCAUUCAAGGUAGAGACCAUCUGCAAUUAAUUCCAUGAAUGACACCAUGAGCCGAUGUCUAAGAAGAAGAAGAAGAAGAAGAAAAAAAGAACACCUCCAGGAUAAAGAGCCGUUAGAACCAGUAGCUACAAUACAUAGUAAGCCUCAGGGAAAAACCAGUAACCAACCAGUAGCUAAGAUUCUUUAUCGCGUCUUUUAGUUCAACUCUUGACUGUUUAUUUCUUCUUUGAUACCGUUGAUGGUUUUGGUUGCAGGUCGUCUGAGUGAACUUGGAGCAUCGUCUCCUUCCCCUUUUCUGAAAUCAAACCAGAACAGAUGUUUCCGCACUUUCUGAGGAGUGAGGACUGAUCUGAGCUUUGGUCUUAAUAUGAGGUGGUGGGCGUUGAUUGAUUUAUUUGUCUCUCUCUUGGUGAUUCAGAACACAAACGUCGCCAGCGAGCUUAAGGUAAAGGAGGUCACCAUUCAUGGUAGAGACCAUCUGCAACUAAUUCCAUGAAUGACACCAUGAGCCGAUGUCUAAGAAGAAGAAGAAGAAAAAAAGAACACCUCUAGGUUUUGUUUCAGGUCUGAUUGUUUUGAUUGCAGGUCUGAGCGUAUUUGGAGCAUCGUCUUUUUCCCCUCGUCUGAAAUCAAAAUGGAACAGAUGUUUCCGCACUUUCAGAGGAGUGAGGACUGAUCUGAACUUUGGUAUUGAUAAUAGGUGGGCGUUGAUUGAUUUAUUUGACUCUCUCUCGGUGAUUCCGAACACAAACGUCGCCAGCCAGCUUAAGGUCAAGGAGAUCAUCAUUCAAGGUAGGGACCAGUCGAUGGACUUUAAGAAAAGCAUCAAACUGCUGAUAGCUAGUCUUCUGACGUUUGAGGAAUCUAUACUGCACUCGGGCCAAAAAAACAAAAACCAGUCACAGUUGUCUAAGCCGAAUGCAGUCAUUAGCAACAUGUGAAAGGGGAAAGAAACGUAGCUAGCACUACCAAACUGAUUAUGGAAAGUCAAGCCAUCAAAAAGCAAAAGCUAGAUGAAGGAAAAUCAAAAUAGAUUCUCAAUUCAAAACCAGCAACUCUGUUGCUCCACAGGGCAAAACGAGGUCUUUCUCACUCCGAAGUCUUAAGCUCAACCUGUGAAAAAGCAGUGAACAAGAAGGCAAUGCAUCUAGUUUCAUCAAGAUCUUGAAAGCUCCAGCUUUGCCUGCACCAGAAACAAGUACACCAUAUCUGCUAGAAGUUUC